GAAAUAUACAGCAAUACUAAAGCCGCUAACUUAUAGUAAUAACGGUUUAACUCCGUUAAUGUUUCU
rnacentral:tRNA from 1 species